UACGAGGGGCGAGCGUUACUCGGAAUUACUGGGCGUAAAGCGUGCGUAGGUGGUUUGUUAAGUCUGUUGUGAAAGCCCCGGGCUCAACCUGGGAAUGGCAAUGGAUACUGGCAGGCUAGAGUGCGGUAGAGGGUAGUGGAAUUCCGGUGUAGCGGUGAAAUGCGUAGAGAUCGGGAGGAACACCAGUGGCGAAGGCGGCUACCUGGACCAGCACUGACACUGAGGCACGAAAGCGUGGGGAGCAAACAGG
rnacentral:rRNA from 1 species